AAUGACGUCCUGUGCACCACAACCACAUGAAGGAUGUGGGGAGCCAUGGCCCUAUGCAGCAAACCUGUGCCUUCAAAUCUGCUUCAGGUGUUCACAUCGAGACCAUUGCCAGCGUGGCCACUGUUGCUUGCUUUUCAUCCUGAAGAAGCACCCCAGCUGACUGAUGCCUCUUAGAACCAUAGAACAGUUAAUGUUGGAAAAGAUUACCAAUUCCAACCCCAAUCCAUCACCACCGUGCCUAUCACCACAUCCCUCAGUGCCACAUCUCCACAUUUCUGGAACACCUCCAGGGAUGGUGACCCCACCGCUCCCCGUGCAAUCCAUGCCACUGCACCAUCAUUCAUUCAGAGAAGAAAUUUUUCCUAAUAUCCAGCUCUUCAAGACCAAUGUGGUGUUACUUGUUAUCAAACUGGACAGAAAGGACCUGGGCCAGGACUGGGCAGUGAUGCCAUCUUUCUGUCCUUUCACAUGUUGGCGCUCACCCCGGGCUUCUUCACCCACAAAGAUACCACUUCAUGGCUUGUGGGUCAGGGAGGAAGGCUGGCACCCAGGCCCCUGAGGAGCAC
rnacentral:lncRNA from 1 species